UUUCGGAACUUGAAUUUUUAAAUAUGGUCAUAUUAUAUGUCGUUGGACACGAUUUUGAAUAAGGAAUCCAAUAAUGAUAAUCAUUUGCUCAUUUGAUACUCGUAGGAAAAUCGUGAUAUAUAGAUCCAAUUUAAUUCGCUCUAGGAUAAUCGUUAAGCUUGGGAGUGUCCCUUGGGGCUCGGACUGAACAUUCUUAAGAGGAUCCUAGUGACGCAAAACGUGGAUAAGGUGAAUUAUCGCUGAAGCUAAUGUGUUUAGCUCCCUAGUCCUAUCUUUUGAGCAUUUUGUAUUUAAUUUGGAACCUAUCGGUCUGUAUAUCUAAGUUAGCUAUGUAAUAGUUAGACAUGAGGAAUGGUGGAUGCUAAGUAUUAUUAUGGUGUUUUAUGACUAAUUAAAUUUAACUAUUUGGUGACUACAUAACUGUGGGGAUAUUAUUGUUCUAUGUAUUAAGAUAAAUGAUCCUA